ACGAGAUGCCGUGCCCGUCCGAGCGGCGCGACCGAUAAACUGGCCGCGGAGUGCCGGGCGCAGCCCUGUGCACUCCGCCAAGAUUCAGCCAGCAGCCGCUGCAACCCCAGGGAG
rnacentral:sRNA from 1 species